GCGUUAUUCGGAAUUACUGGGCGUAAAGCGCACGUAGGCGGACCGGAAAGUUGGAGGUGAAAUCCCAGGGCUCAACCUUGGAACUGCCUUCAAAACUCCCAGUCUUGAGAUCGAGAGAGGUGAGUGGAAUUCCGAGUGUAGAGGUGAAAUUCGUAGAUAUUCGGAGGAACACCAGUGGCGAAGGCGGCUCACUGGCUCGAUACUGACGCUGAGGUGCGAAAGCGUGGGGAGCAAACAGGAUUARAUACCCUGGUAGUCCACGCCGUAAACRAUGAAUGCCAGUCGUCAGCAAGCAUGCUUGUUGGUGACACACCUAACGGAUUAAGCAUUCCGCCUGGGGAGUACGGCCGCAAGGUUAAAACUCAAAGGAAUUGACG
rnacentral:rRNA from 1 species